rnacentral:sRNA from 1 species
GUGAAGCGAUUUGGGGACGAUCUUAAUCACAUCAGCUGUGUCAUCAAGGAACGGACAGUGGCUCAGAUAAAGGCCACUGUGAAACGCAAGGUAUAUGAAGAUUCUGGCAUCCCCCUUCCAGCUGAGUCACCCAAGAAAGGGCCCAAGAAGGUGGCAUCUGGUGUCUUGUCACCUCCUCCAGCUGCCCCUCCUCCCAGCAGCUCCAGUGUCCCUGAGGCCGGGGGUCCCCCCAUAAAGAAACAGAAGGCUGUGACCUGGUGGAUAUUGAAGGGCUAGGAGAAACUCCUCCAGCUAAGAAACUCAACUUCGACCAGGACAGCCUGACCCUGGAUUCUGGCCUUCUCAUGACCUCUGCUGAUCCUC